rnacentral:rRNA from 1 species
CCAGACUCCUACGGGAGGCAGCAGUGGGGAAUAUUGCACAAUGGGGGAAACCCUGAUGCAGCGACGCCGCGUGAGUGAGGAAGUAUUUCGGUAUGUAAAGCUCUAUCAGCAGGGAAGAAAAUGACGGUACCUGACUAAGAAGCCCCGGCUAACUACGUGCCAGCAGCCGCGGUAAUACGUAGGGGGCAAGCGUUAUCCGGAUUUACUGGGUGUAAAGGGAGCGUAGACGGACUUGCAAGUCUGAUGUGAAAAUCCGGGGCCCAACCCCGGAACUGCAUUGGAAACUGUAUAUCUAGAGUGUCGGAGAGGCAAGUGGAAUUCCUGGUGUAGCGGUGAAAUGCGUAGAUAUCAGGAGGAACACCAGUGGCGAAGGCGGCUUGCUGGACGAUGACUGACGUUGAGGCUCGAAAGCGUGGGGAGCAAACAGGAUUAGAUACCCCAGUA